AGCUUUGCGCAGUGGCAGUAUCGUAGCCAAUGAGGUUUAUCCGAGGCGCGAUUAUUGCUAAUUGAAAAAUAAGUUUUAUUACCAAUGACUCAAAUUUUGAUUUGUUUAUAGUUAUGAAUGGCCUUUUUAGAU
rnacentral:snRNA from 1 species